CAGAGGAGAAGGGGAAGGCAAAAGCACUUUGUCCUGCCUUGCUCAGAACACUCCCCGGUCAACACCCAGGGGACAACAUCUCCUUUCAGACAGGCGCUAACCAAGCAGAACCAGCUGAGCUCAUGCUCCUCUCUUGCAAACAUUUCCACCUCACCUCUGCUUCAGAGGAAAAGGAGUCCACAGACGGAGCAAGGCCAGCAAGAAACGAACGCAACAGGGAAGACAGAGUAGAUGGAAAAGCAGGAUUCGCUCCAGACCAACAUAAUGACAAUGGCCAUUUGCUUAUUGCUUGAAGACUUCCAUGGAAGCCCUCCAAGAAUUCACUGAUGAAGGAGCUCAGCCUCAGUGUCACCAUCGUGGGAUGUGUGGAGACAAUUCAGGAAAAUACAGUGCUGCCUCUCUACCCUAUCUGCCUUAUGAAGAUGCUGGCAUGCCCUCUUCCUGGGAACUGUGAGACAGGCUUUCCAAAGGCCAUUGUAUUCUGCUCUGUUGUUUGCACCACCACACCUCAAUAAUAAAAUUUAAUGAGAGAAUAAUAAACAAUAAGACAACUGUG